UAGCCUAAGGCCAAUGAGCAAUUUCCUC
rnacentral:piRNA from 1 species